GUGCUUGCUUUGAGCUGGGGGAUGGAGGAAGGAAAGGAGAAUGAGUUGAAGCUACCUUGUUCGGAAAGACCGGUUGUUCUGAUGAUGACCUGCCUCCUAGACCUUCAUAAUUGAGGUGGUGCCCGGCUGACUUCAAUGACAUUAGAACACACUGGUGCAGCAGCUGCUCUCCUCGCACAGACGCUUCCUGUGGGGCGAGCGGGACCGCGUGGCCACACUGGCACAGCAGCGAGGGCUGAUGCCACCACU